rnacentral:rRNA from 1 species
GACGAACGCUGGCGGCGUGCUUAACACAUGCAAGUCGAACGGAAAGGCCCUGCUUUUGUGGGGUGCUCGAGUGGCGAACGGGUGAGUAACACGUGAGUAACCUGCCCUUGACUUUGGGAUAACUUCAGGAAACUGGGGCUAAUACCGGCUAGGAGCUCCUGCUGCAUGGUGGGGGUUGGAAAGUUUCGGCGGUUGGGGAUGGACUCGCGGCUUAUCAGCUUGUUGGUGGGGUAGUGGCUUACCAAGGCUUUGACGGGUAGCCGGCCUGCGAGGGUGACCGGCCACAUUGGGACUGGGAUACGGCCCAGACUCCUACGGGAGGCAGCAGUGGGGAAUAUUGCACAAUGGGCGGAAGCCUGAUGCAGCAACGCCGCGUGCGGGAUGACGGCCUUCGGGUUGUAAACCGCUUUCGCCUGUGACGAAGCGUGAGUGACGGUAAUGGGUAAAGAAGCACCGGCUAACUACGUG